GGAGAAAAAGUAGUCAGUCUGUCCGCUCAGUAGGUUCAUCCGCAUGCGUGCCAGGAGAGAAUUAAAUGGCCGUUACGCAUGAAGCAGAUAUCUGAUAUUCUCGUACGUCCGUAUCAGUAUGGCAGAGACAGGUGGUCCAAUGGCAGUGAGACCGUUACAUAUCACUGACAGACGAAGGAAAAGAAUAAAAGGAGAGGACUAAGCUUACAGAGCCGUUGUAAAACCCUCUUUUCUGAAUCUCAGAUUAUCAAAAUCUAACAGCAAUAUCAAAAUAAAUCAUUUAAAAAAA
rnacentral:lncRNA from 1 species